rnacentral:ncRNA from 1 species
CGCCGUGCUACCGUCGCCGGCAACACGCAAUAGCGGAUCGUGGUGAAGGGAAGUCCGGUGCAAGACCGGCGCGGACCCGCCACUGUGAGCGACAGGUCGACCGCACGCACGCGGUGCAGCCACUGGGGCCCAGGCCCCGGGAAGGCGCGGUCGACCGGACUCGUGAGCCAGGAGACCUGCCCGAUCCGGCAACGUCGA